UCAGACGGCCGGGCGGUCGCGGGUUUCGGCCCGAGGAAAGUCCGGGCUCCACGGUGACAAGGCGGCGGGUAACGCCCGCCGGGCGCGAGCCCAGGGAUAGCGCCACAGAAAGCAAACCACCUCCGGUUCGCCGGCGGAAAGGGUGAAAGGGUGGGGUAAGAGCCCACCGCGGGACUGGUGACAGGACCGGCAUGGCAAGCCCCGCCUGGAGCAAGACCGAAUAGGGAUGUCGCGUCCUCGCAAGAGGGCAGGCCCGUCGCCGGGCCGAGGCGUCCGGGUUGGUCGCGAGAACCGUCCAGCAAUGGGCGGUCCAGAGGAAUGACCGUCACCGCCUUUCGGGGCGGGACAGAACCCGGCUUACAGGCCGUCUGAUCUC
rnacentral:RNase_P_RNA from 1 species